rnacentral:rRNA from 1 species
GUCGAGAAUCUUUCACAAUGGGGGCAACCCUGAUGGAGCGACGCCGCGUGGAGGAUAAGGUCUUCGGAUUGUAAACUCCUGUCAUGCGUGAACAAGGUUGCUUGGUUAAUACCUGGGCAAAUUGAUGGUAACGCAAGAGGAAGAGACGGCUAACUCUGUGCCAGCAGCCGCGGUAAUACAGAGGUCUCAAGCGUUGUUCGGAAUCACUGGGCGUAAAGGGUGCGUAGGUGGCGUGGUAAGUCAGAUGUGAAAGCCCGGGGCUCAACCUCGGAACUGCAGCUGAUACUGCCAUGCUAGAGUACUGGAGAGGUGACUAGAAUUCUCGGUGUAGCAGUGAAAUGCGUAGAUAUCGAGAGGAAUACCAAAGGCGUAGGCAGGUCACUGGACAGUUACUGACACUGAGGCACGAAGGCCAGGGGAGCGAACGGGAUUAGAUACCCGAGUAGUCC